GUAUGAAUCUUUGCCACUCUUGUUCUCCGUCCAACGACCAGGCAAUGACUUAUUCUUGGAAUCACAGCAUUGACCAUCGCAGUAAGAGUGCUGGGGAUUCAACCCAGGGCUUCACACAUUCUGGUCUAGGAAAACUAAUAGAAUCUGUACAAAGUAAGAGAAUUACCUAAAUGAAACUGAAUCCAGGAAGUCUUCUUUGGCGGAUUUCCCAGUACAGCAGUGACAGCCUGAACAGAAGACUAGGAUACUACAAAUUCUAAUUCAAUCCACUAUCCAAAGUCUCCAACAAUGUCAUCAAGAUUUUUCUUAUUUCUUCUUUUUUUGUUGUUGUUGUCAUUGAGGAUUGAACCUAGGACCUUGCACAUACCAGCUUCAACUUCAUAAACAUCCAGAUUCAAAUCCAAUGGAAAAAUAAAGAGCACUUCCUCAUGGAAAUUUUCAAGAAACUCCUGGAAUUCCAUCUUUCAAAUUGAGCCUGUCACCAUAAACACUGUGGUAACAGGAAUUCUGAGAGCUGACUGGUCAAAUUUGGGUCACAUGUUCCAACAUGGUAUAGUCAGUUUUCUGUUGCUGUAACCAAGAUUACUUUGAAGAUUAGUAUAUAUCAAAUAUUAAUUGAAAAAAAUGGCUUGUAGGGUCCUUUAAGAGAAUCACAUUCAAUAGAUGCAAGGUGGGGGCUAGGAAUCUGCAUUUUUAACAAACCCUCUAGAUUAUUCAAAUGGAAGUGAUCUAAGGAUUCUACCUUGAGAAACAUUGUACCUUUAGAGCAGUCAUUCCUUUAUAUUUUCUACACACAAGGUAGAAAGUGGAAAGCUCUCUAGUUGGAGAAGGUGGCUAGGUGACUUGUCCAGAAAAUUGUUGUAUGUUUAUUUGAGUUACUGAGGGGCUCCUGAGGGAGACUGGGACAGCCAUUGGUUAAGGGAUGCUCAAAUGCAGUUCUUCUUAAGUUUUAAGGUACACAUAAAUCACCAGGGAUCUUAUUAAAAUGUAGAUUCUAAUUCAGUGGAACUGGCUGAAUUCUGAGAAUUCUGUAUUUCUAAUAAGCUCUCAAGUGACGCUAAUGCUACUGGACUUGGCACCUAGAUAAGCAGGACUUUAGACUAAAAGUGAGGUAUAUUAAAAGAGAGAUAUAAUCAGAAAUUGCAUGUGAAAUGGAAAACCAAGACAUGAAGUAUAGCCAGGGUCUGAAAUAGACUUAAUCCAAAGGUUAAGCAAUUUUGAAUCAUGAAAGGAGAAAUGGCURAGUUAGAACCCCAUUCAACCCAGAUUGGUUAAAAAUAGAUCACCAAGAUUUUCAGUCUUUCCCACACUCAUUUUGCUCUCCCACCGUGGAACAUGUUUGAGGCCUACCUGAAAAGAGAGGAUCAUAUACAUAGGCCAGGUCCUAUCAGCCUGUAUGUGGAAAAUGUCUUUCAAAGUUUCUUAAAGUAACUCACUAUUUUCUUUAGUUAACAAAUCCACUCCCCACCCUAGAAAAUGUAACUUUUAAACACAAGUARUAAUCCCCACAAAGAUCCCCCAGGUCAAGAUCUUAUCAUAUCUUCCUCUGCUGAAAAUCCUGACUAGUUCCUGACUGGGUUUUUUUAUUUUUUAUUUUUUGUU